rnacentral:lncRNA from 10 species
CUUUCUUUCCCAGGCUGGCGCUGAGAUGGGCAGGUGCUGCAGCAGCCCCGCUGGAAGCGAUGCAGCAUCCAGAACGACGGAGGAAGGGGCGGAGAGGGACCUCUGCUUUCCAGGCUGCCUUUUAUACUGCCUCUGGUCACCUGACAUGGAACGUACCCUAACCUAAUCAGUUACCUGUACCUUAAUUGCAAUUAACUUAAUCCAGUUACAUGACCUGGAAAGGUCUAUCUGCACAGCCCACUCUAAGAUCCUGUCCACUGCUGACAGACAUUCUAAAACCUACUUGUACAGCUGCAAGCUUUGAACAAUAGAUGUUCCCCGUCAGACAUGUAACACUGGUGCCUGUAUCCCUGUCUUCUUUUCCAUCUUUUUUGUUGUUUUGUUUUGUUUCGUUUUAAAAAAUGUGGUAAAAUAGACACCUUUUAAUUGGACCACAUUUUGUCUCUCUCGACGUAGGCCUCAGUGUCAUCAAGGAGACUCUCCUUGACAUGCAGUCACGGCCAUGAUCCAUCUUCAGAGCUUCUCUUUCUUCCCCAAGGUAAGUCUGUCAGCAGAGAACCCUGACCGCACCCUCAUGUGUUUUCUCCCCCAGGAGGCGCUUGGAAACCACCGUGAAUUGGACCGCACUGGGAAACACAGAUGAGGAAAGUCAACAACGCUUUGUCCUUCAGUGCCUGCCUCCUUUUUCAGCUCGUCUUGCGACUCCCGGACGCCUGUGAGGCUCUAAUUCCCUGGGUCCCAUUGCCAUGUCUCUGGAUUUGCGAAGAUCCACCGCACCUUCUGUGGAACUCCCGUGUCGGUGAACUUUUGUGCCACGGCCCCUAAUUCUGCCCAUGGUCAUCCGCACCUGCACGACUUAGGGUCCAUGUUCCUUGGACGGGAAGAGACAGGCAGGAGUCGGAAUGAUGAACCAGCACACUGGGGCGUUUUCUCAUGUAGCCCAAGUGACCCCAUGGUCUUCUCGAGCUUUGGAACCAGUCGCGUCCCCUUUGACACUGCACCCGGCUCCCAGUCUCUCAAUCUUGUUGGCCCUCCGGCGAUCUCCCGUUGGAUGAAUUGCUCCUGCUGAAACUCCAGUCCCCUUUGAUUUGCGCUUCAUUAAUUAUUCAUGAUUCAGGUUGGAAGGCCUGCUGACGACCCCCUGUGGCCGUUCUCUGAGCUUUCCUGUCACAUCGUUUCCUUCCACGCUCUUUGGUUCCUUAUGGUCCUGCUCCCUCUGCUGUCAGAGGAGCAGAGAGUUGAUCUUAUUCAUUCUGGAUACGGAUACUUUCUAGGUGAUCUGGAUAAUCAAGAUAACGACCCUCAACAGCGGCGGAGAGGGAGCAGCCAGUUGGUGUGUCUCAGAAAAUCCCACUGAGUUCCGAGGCCUCCUAGAUGUGGAAUCCUGCUGAGAGUUGUUCCCAGGUCAGAGAAUGGAGAGAGCCUGUGCAUGAUGGGACAUCCCCGCCUAGAUCUUUCAGUGAGUCUCUACCUCAGCUACUCUUAGGAUCAGGGGGAGAACCAUGGUGUCAGACAUCCGGAAAGAAGACGGGAUGAAUGUUUUACCUCUGAAGUACAUCCCAAAUGUGGGAGUUAACUUCAGCUUUGCUGGGGUCUAUUUGGCCAGUGAAACUCUGCCUGGUUCCUUCGCACAUCCGGAAGCCACUUCACGGGGGGCCGUCGCAACUGGAACCACACACUUGGCAUCGGCGGUUGAGCCAAAUGGGGACUCGUGGUGCAAGCAACGCUCCCCACGUGUUAGCGUGCGUGAGAUGCGGUUGGCGGAAUUUUACUAGGUGCGUGUUGGUAGAGUGGGGCUGAGGUUUUCUUGCUCCUGUGGAUGUAUAGCAAGUCAAAGGUCCUGCCCAGCCCUGCGGUCCCCUCAGUCAACUCUGUUUCGGAGACGUAACGAUUUGGAUUGCCAACAAGUCAAGAAAUGUUCAAGCCCUUGGAUGUAGGGUAAAGAAAGAGAGAUCAGACUGUCACUGUGUCUAUGUAGAAGGGGAAGACAUAAGAGACUCCAUUUUGAAAAAGACCUGUAGUUUAAACAAUUGCUUUGCUGAGAUGUUGAUCAUUUGUAGCUUUGCCGCAGCCCCUUCCUUUGACCCAACUUGGAGCUCACAAAAACCUGUGUUGUAUAAAAUCGAGGUUUAAGGGAUCUAGGGCUGUGCAGGACGCGCCUUGUUAACCAAAUGUUUACGAGCAGUAUACUUGGUAGGAGUCAUUGCCAUUCCCUAGUCUCAAUAAACCAGGGGCGCAAUGCACCGUGGAAAGCCACAGGGACCUCUGCCCUUGAAAGCAGGGUAUUGUCCAAGGUUUCUCCCCAUGUGACAGUCUGAAAUAUGGCCUCGUGGGAUGGGAAAGACCUGACUGUCCCCCAGCCUGACACCCGCAAUGGGUCUGUGCUGAGGUGGAUUAGUCAAAGAGGAAAGCCUCUUGCAGUUCAGAUGGAGGAAGGCCACUGUCUCCUGCUUGCCCCUGGGAACUGAAUGUCUCGGUGUAAAGCCCGAUCGUACAUUUGUUCAACUCUGAGCUCGGAGAAAAGCUGCCCUGUGGCGGGAGGCGAGACAUGUUGGCAGUAAUGCUGCCUUGUUAUUCUUUACUCCGCUGAGAUAUUUGUGUGGAGAGAAACAUAAAUCUGGCCUACGUGCACGUCCAGGCAUAGUACCUUCCCUUGAACUUAAUAAUGAUAUGGAUUCUUUUGCUCACGUGUUUGUUUUUGUUGUUGCUGUUGAACUUCCCCUUAUUAUCACCCUGCUCCCCUACUGCAUUCCUUUGUGCUGUAAUAAUGAUAAUCAUAAUCAAUAAAAACUGAGGGAACUCAGAGGCCGGUGCCGGUGCAGGUCCUAGGUGUGCUGAGUGCCGGUCCCCUGGACCCACUGUUGUCUCCCUAUA